CCCUAAAAUGAGUGCUCUCCGCCUCUUUGUUUCAAAUUGGUCUCUCCUCACUCUUCUGCUCGCGAUGAACACUAAACAGAGCAACAUAAUCUCUGUUCUCUCCACUCUCGAUUAUUUUCCGCCAUGAAAGGAGCUCUUAGAACUCGGACGAACCCACACACUCACACGGAACAAAAACAACGAAAUCCUCUCAAUCGCGUCGCUCUCUAGCGAAAUCAAACAAGACGCAAACAACAAUGAAAAACCCUAAUCCCCAAAUCAAACCCAACCCCAAUUCAAUAUUCAAUAGUGAUUACAUUUUACACGGUGGAAAUCGAAAAUGGCAAGAAGAAAUAAAUAAGCUACGAAUAACAGAAGAUCCUCAAGUAUACACUUUGCUCGUUAACUCGAUUCUUCCUCUUCUUUACUGUUCUUCGUGCUCAUCUCAUUCUUCUGCAUUUUCUUGUUUUGCUGCGUGUCUGUUGAUGUUGUAAUUUGGUGAGUCAGUGUUUAUUGAGUGUGAGGUUUUAUAUGUGUUAGCGCGUUCUAUUAUUUCAGUUGCUCGACUCUCGUUGCUUUGUGAUGUUUGUUGCAACACUGCAGGUUUAUUUAGAGAUUAGCAUGGUUGGGAGAAACCCUUCAAAAUAUGAACAUGAAGAUGUUUUAUAGGAUGCGUUUGAUAUUGGCUACAAUUUAUGAAUCUGUAAGCUUCUCCCUGCUGGUCCCAUGCUGCAGAGAAGUUCUAUGAAACAAUGUGAGAUAUUGACUGGAACCUUGACACCAAGAGUACGAGCUCUAAAAAGUCUUACAACUCUAUCUUAGAUUGCUUGUUAAUGAAAUCAUGUCUAUACGUGAUAAGAAUCUUCUGCAUUUGGUCCCUGUAGAGUUUGCAACAAAUGCUUCUUGAGAUUUCAAAUUGGAUUAAGAAUCCUGAUUUUGAUUGGGAUUAUAUCCAGCAGAGACCUUCUCAAGAGCUUGUAGCUAAGGAUAUACAUGGCCUGGAAUGGAGGUUUUGGCACAUUUACAGUGGUCAGCCAAGGAGGCAUUUGCUGACAACUGGGUGGAGUGCAUUUGUUAACAAGAAGAAGCUCGUGUCUAGUGAUGCUGUGUUGUUUCUUAGGUAUCAUGAACCGAAUUCCAUAAAAUAUUAUGAACAUGGUAUAUCAAUAACAAUGACUAACGUUUUAUUAUUGAUAUACCAUGGGUGGUGAUGGAGAGCUGAGAUUAGGUAUCCGUAGGGCUGUUCAGUUGAAAGGAUCUGGUUCCUUUACAGCUUCUGGCAUGCAAUUGGAUCCUAGCUCUCUCAUGGACGUUGUGAAUGCUUUAUCCAAAAGAUCCGCGUUCAAUGUUUGUUAUAAUCCAAGGGUCAGUUCUUCGGAUUUCAUCAUACCUGUCAACAAGUUCAUAAAGAGCCAUAAUUGUUCUUACUUUGCUGGAAUGAGGUUCUGGAUGCGUUUUGAAACUGAAACUUGAUUGUUCUUAUUUUAUCAUCUAUUAGAUGCAAGAUCAAUAAGGGAUGUUUGUGAAUGUUGUUAUCCCUCGUCCAAAUUCAAAUGGAGAGCUGUCUGCAGGUAUUAGAAAGGUGUUCUUGAAAUACUCUGACUAUACUGCUUCUUUAGCUGCAAAAAAUGAUUUAAAUGGCCGAAAAUUUUGGGGUAAUAUUGUGACUGUUGUUUACUAUCCAGAAGAAAAUUAUCAUACAUGGAGUAUGAUUUAUAACCACUUCUAGGGAUGAUGAUUUGUUUGUAGUGUUUAUAGCAACUCUUUGUCACUCAAGUUUUUAUAUUUAGUUUUGGUUCAGGUUUAUUAGAUAUAUAAUGUACUUAGUCAAUCAUAUAUUGAUGCUAUUAUCAUUGAUGUGUAGAUAGUAAAAUAAUUUGUAAUCAUACAAUUACAGUAAUCAAGCUUUAAAUUCUUCAAAAUUGGCGCAAGUGAUUGGUGUGUUGGUUUGAAAAAGAAAAUCAGUCUGUUGGGCAAGUUUUGUUUCACUAUUGGAGCACUUAGAACUGAUUCUAAAAUUGUUUUUUUACCUGUAAAAUUAACAUGUUUAGUUUACAUGUAAAAUUGGCCUGCAUAUAGCUGUAGUUUUAAUAAGUGGCCAUAAACAAGUUGUGGCAAGACCUAGGCAACUAAAUCGUAUGCUAUACAUUAAAUAAGAACGGUGGUUUUAUGAUUUGACCACUAUUUAGAACUAAGGUGCAAGAUAAACCGCGACCUUAAUCUAUAUACCUAAACCGUGGUCUAUAUAAGCCACGAAUGUCCAUAAAACGUGGCACAAACAAGAAAACUGUGGAUUAUACUUUAGGCCACGACUUCAUGUCCCACAGUCACUUUUCAGGGGCCAAAGCGUUAAACCACGACUAUUUUGCAUAUAGCCGCGGUUUUAUGGCCGUGGUAGAUGAACUUUUUUUUGUAGAGAAUUAAAUCGAUAAUUCAAACUAAAUCAAAUCGAAACAAAACUGAUUCUUUGUGGUUCGGUUCAAAAACCGAAUCAAACCAAUAAAAAACGAUGUGGAAUGGUCCGGUUCUCAAUUUUAGUUUUUAAAUAUCGUCAGACCGACGAACUGAACCAAUGGAUAUGACUACGCUCUAAAUUUCUUUAUUCCACUCAUUUUUAAUCCAAAAUUUUGUAUUAGUCCAAUAAUUUUCAAUUUUUUUUUACACUUCCAUCCUUUUAGAAAACACACAUCUAUAACCAAACUCCAAAACAAGGAAAAUAGAAACCAUAAGUAAAAAAACUGUUUUCACUGAGCUGCA